GACGAACGCUGGCGGCGUGCCUAACACAUGCAAGUCGAGCGGUAAGGCCCUUUCGGGGGUACACGAGCGGCGAACGGGUGAGUAACACGUGGGUGACCUGCCCUCAGCUCUGGGAUAAGCCUGGGAAACCGGGUCUAAUACUGGAUAUGACUCCAUGACGCAUGUUGUGGGGUGGAAAGCCUUGUGCGGCUGAGGAUGGGCCCGCGGCCUAUCAGCUUGUUGGUGGGGUGANGGCCUACCAAGGCGACGACGGGUAGCCGGCCUGAGAGGGCGACCGGCCACACUGGGACUGAGACACGGCCCAGACUCCUACGGGAGGCAGCAGUGGGGAAUCUUGCGCAAUGGGCGAAAGCCUGACGCAGCGACGCCGCGUGAGGGAUGACGGGCCUCGGUU
rnacentral:rRNA from 1 species